GCGAAGGCGGCCCCUUGACAAAGACUGACGCUCAGGUGCGAAGCGUGGGGAGCAAACAGGAUAGAUACCUGGUAGUCACGCUGUAAACGAUGUCGAUUUGGAGGUUGUUCCCUUGAGGAGUGGCUUCCGGAGCUAACGCGUUAAAUCGACCGCUGGGGAGUACGGCCGCAAGGUUAAAACUCAAAUGAAUUGACGGGGGCCCGCACAAGCGGUGGAGCAUGUGGUUUAAUUCGAUGCAACGCGAAGAACCUUACCUACUCUUGACAUCCAGAGAAUUUAGCAGAGAUGCUUUAGUGCCUUCGGGAACUCUGAGACAGGUGCUGCAUGGCUGUCGUCAGCUCGUGUUGUGAAAUGUUGGGUUAAGUCCCGCAACGAGCGCAACCCUUAUCCUUUGUUGCCAGCACAUUAUGGUGGGAACUCAAAGGAGACUGCCGGUGAUAAACCGGAGGAAGGUGGGGAUGACGUCAAGUCAUCAUGGCCCUUACGAGUAGGGCUACACACGUGCUACAAUGGCGUAUACAAAGAGAAGCGACCUCGCGAGAGCAAGCGGAACUCAUAAAGUACGUCGUAGUCCGGAUUGGAGUCUGCAACUCGACUCCAUGAAGUCGGAAUCGCUAGUAAUCGUAGAUCAGAAUGCUACGGUGAAUACGUUCCCGGGCCUUGUACACACCGCCCGUCACACCAUGGGAGUGGGUUGCAAAAGAAGUAGGUAGCUUAACCUUCGGGAGGGCGCUUACCACUUUGUGAUUCAUGACUGGGGUGAAGUCGUAACAAGGUAACCA
rnacentral:rRNA from 1 species